rnacentral:rRNA from 1 species
CAGCCGCCGCGGUAAUACGAAGGGGGCUAGCGUUGCUCGGAAUGACUGGGCGUAAAGGGCGCGUAGGCGGCGGCCAAAGUCAGGCGUGAAAUUCCCGGGCUCAACCUGGGGGCUGCGUUUGAUACUUGGUUGCUUGAGUGGGGAAGAGGGUCGUGGAAUUCCCAGUGUAGAGGUGAAAUUCGUAGAUAUUGGGAAGAACACCGGUGGCGAAGGCGGCGACCUGGUCCUUUACUGACGCUGAGGCGCGAAAGCGUGGGGAGCAAACAGGAUUAGAUACCCCUGUAGUCCCUGUCUCUUAUAC